UACGUAGGGUGCGAGCGUUGUCCGGAAUUACUGGGCGUAAAGAGCUCGUAGGUGGUUUGUCGCGUUGUUCGUGAAAUCUCACGGCUUAACUGUGAGCGUGCGAGCGAUACGGGCAGACUUGAGUACUGCAGGGGAGACUGGAAUUCCUGGUGUAGCGGUGGAAUGCGCAGAUAUCAGGAGGAACACCGGUGGCGAAGGCGGGUCUCUGGGCAGUAACUGACGCUGAGGAGCGAAAGCGUGGGGAGCGAACAGG
rnacentral:rRNA from 1 species